GUCUAAGUACACAUGGGUGUUACAGCGAAACUGCGAAUGGCUCAUUAAAUCAGUUAUGGCUCCUUUGGUCGCUCCCACCGUUCCUUGGAUAACUGUGGUAAUUCUAGAGCUAAUGCACAAAAGGGGGGUGGGGAGAGGAAAAAAAGAAAGCACUGGUCCUAACUAGUAAGUGUUUCAAUGUGUUUUGCUUGGGAGCCUUUUUCCAACAAUUGUUCAGAUAUUUCCAAGCUUUUGUGUGUGGGAUUUAGGAGCCUGCCUUUACAAAAACGAG